rnacentral:lncRNA from 1 species
UACCGAACUACUGGAAGUGUUUCCGUACCGGUACAACGUCAUCCUCGAAGCUUCCAUAUCUUCAUCACUAAACCCUAACGCCUUUUGCAGAGCGUCCAGCACCGCCUUACCGCCGACGUGAGGAAGAAAGUGAUCGACGGCGUUGCCGUAACUAGGAAUUGAUAUUUGGAGGUUUUGUGAUCGGACUGGCGGUUGGAGAGGAGGAUCGCGGCGCCUCCAACGCGGAACAGGCAGUUGAUGAGGAAUUUGGAUCGAUCUUCUCCGAGUUUUAGGGAUAAAAGACAAAACUUAGCCUGGAAUAAGACACUUUAAACAGCAAGUGGUUAGGGCAUUGUCGACGGUCUACGGGCACCGGAAAUCGAGGAAUCUCAUCCGUCCAAGGGUUAUCGUCACUACAAUUUACGGUCUUCAUUGCACGCCAAAUAACACUACUACACUUAAAACCCGACCCGAAGGCAAUCUGCCAGACUUUAUUACCUUCUUUGACCCGACCCUUUGCUUCCACGUACGCCAGCUCAUACCAUAUUGAACUACUGGAUGUGUUUCCGUACCUGUACAAUGUCAUUCUCGAAGCUUCCAUCACUUCGUCUGAUAAUCCUAGCGUCUUCUGCAAGUCAUCGAGAACAGGUUUCCCGCCAACGUGAGGAAGAAAGUGAUCAACGGCGUCACUGUACUUAGUUCUAGUGGCACAAGACAAAAUUUCAGCACGGAAUUGGACACCAGAUGGGAAAUGAUUUGGUAAGUAAGCUUCUAAAGUCUUCAAUAAUACUUGUGCAUGCAUAUGACCAGUCACAAGUAUUAAUGUAUUCGAUAAAAGGCGGUCAAAUGGGUGAGCCGUGUGGGUUUAGUAAGGUGAUAAAACGGUUUUGCUUCAUACUGAGUAUUCUUUUGUAUGGGGUGAAACAAGUCAAGCCGUGUUGAGUUGACCUAAAACACUAUUUGUCAUUCUUUUUUUUCCUUUCCAUUUUAAAAUUUAUUGUGUGUUAAAUUAGAAAGAAACAUAUUUGAUGCAACAAUAGUAUAAUAUUUUGAACAAAGCGAUUUAGUAGAUUGUUACAACAAUAGCAUUUAAAAUACACCUUGGGUGACUUUCGACCCGUUUCUUUUUAGCUAAGUGUAUUGACUCGUUAAAGAUGAAACAUAAACCAAAACGUCCCAUUUCUAAGUGAAUAUCCAUCGCUAGUGUUUGUUGUUUUAGAUAACAAGUGUAUUAUAAUAGAUAUGACGUUGAAGUACUUUGUUUUAUAGGCGGUUAAACUAACUACACUAAAGGAAAAGUUUUGGUAUUUUGGUCUUUGACAACUUUAGAGAUACAAUAAGUUUGUUGGACCGGAAUUAGGAUUUUAACCGACAUGGUAGUUAGGCCAGUACGCUUAAAAGAGUCUUUGGUGGUAUUUACACAUGCUUACGGCCGAACAAUACAUGUGGACAAAUUCCCACUUUCUUUUUUUACUUUGAUUUGCCGUCUAGACUUUGCCGUCUAUUCAAAAGGGGGUGGCGGCGCAACUUGUUGCCCGACUACCUGCCAUUGCUCUGUAAUUGCCCUUUUUCAUGUGGAAUGAUAUAAAAGAUAUAGAUAUGAAAAAAAAAAAAACCCUUAUAAACAUCCUGUACGGUUGCAUUUAGGUAUACCCUUGAAUGGUUGUAGUUUGCAUUGUGUAUGCAAACAACACAUUUAUUGAACUAACACGGUUGCAUUGCUACACUAAUAGCAUAUACAUGUUUAACAGGUCUUAAAGUGAAGACCUAGGAUCACUUUAAGAACGUUUAAUAAUAAAGUUGGACUUCGCUAACUACCUAUGCGCAAAGUUUUAAAAUUUUGGUUUGUAAAGAUUACGACACUGAUUUUAUAUCGACAACUAAUGAGAUCUAUGGGUACCCACGACCUCGUGGUCCAGUGGUAUGGUGUUUGCCCACAUAAAAGUGACGUGAGUUUAAAUCCUUGCUAGGUGGUAUAUAGGUGUAAAAAAUUGCAGUUGAUUGAUUUCCUCUUUUUGCAACAUAUGAUACACCUUAAAUAAUAUUUUGAUGAUUUGUAACAAUUAAGAGCAUUCACAAUGGAUCCCCUAUAUAUUUGUGAGUAGGUUAUUUAUAUUAUAAGGAAUGGUUGUGAGUGGUUUUUAGUGGAGGAAAGAGAAAAUGUUACUAUUCUUAUGUAAAUAUAUGCUAAACACUGUUCACCCCUAUACAAUUUUUAAUAUUCUUUGAAAGUGUUGUGAGUGGAGGAGAGAGAAAAGAAUGAUAA